rnacentral:rRNA from 1 species
GCAGUCGAGCGAGCUUGCCUAGAUGAAUUUGGUGCUUGCACCAAAUGAAACUAGAUACAAGCGAGCGGCGGACGGGUGAGUAACACGUGGGUAACCUGCCCAAGAGACUGGGAUAACACCUGGAAACAGAUGCUAAUACCGGAUAACAACACUAGACGCAUGUCUAGAGUUUAAAAGAUGGUUCUGCUAUCACUCUUGGAUGGACCUGCGGUGCAUUAGCUAGUUGGUAAGGUAACGGCUUACCAAGGCAAUGAUGCAUAGCCGAGUUGAGAGACUGAUCGGCCACAUUGGGACUGAGACACGGCCCAAACUCCUACGGGAGGCAGCAGUAGGGAAUCUUCCACAAUGGACGCAAGUCUGAUGGAGCAACGCCGCGUGAGUGAAGAAGGGUUUCGGCUCGUAAAGCUCUGUUGGUAGUGAAGAAAGAUAGAGGUAGUAACUGGCCUUUAUUUGACGGUAAUUACUUAGAAAGUCACGGCUAACUACGUGCCAGCAGCCGCGGUAAUACGUAGGUGGCAAGCGUUGUCCGGAUUUAUUGGGCGUAAAGCGAGUGCAGGCGGUUCAAUAAGUCUGAUGUGAAAGCCUUCGGCUCAACCGGAGAAUUGCAUCAGAAACUGUUGAACUUGAGUGCAGAAGAGGAGAGUGGAACUCCAUGUGUAGCGGUGGA